CCCACACCGAAAUCCGCAAAAGCCAAACAAAACAUCUCCAUUUGUAAUUACGAUGGGUUGUCACCCUCCUCUCACUGUUAUGCAUGAAAUUCAAGCUCUAAGCCUUAAAUUUGCAUACUUUUAAUUACAUAUCAAUUGACAUGGGUAAGAAGAAUUAAAGACACACAUGCAUACA